CAUUCGAGUGGCGGACGGUGGAGUAACGCGUGGGUAACCUGCCUUACACAGGGGAUAACACCUGGAAACAGGUGCUAAUACCGCAUAAGCGCACAGGGCCGCAUGGCCCGGUGUGAAAAACUCCGGUGGUGUAAGAUGGACCCGCGUCUGAUUAGCUUGUUGCGGGUAGGGGCCCACCAAGGCGACGAUCAGUAGCCGGCCUGAGAGGGUGGACGGCCACAUUGGGACUGAGACACGGCCCAAACUCCUACGGAAGGCAGCAG
rnacentral:rRNA from 1 species